rnacentral:rRNA from 1 species
AUGGCGGGAACCUUACGUGCGGCAGUGGCCGCCUCGCAGCCGCCGCCGUCCAGGGGCGCCACCGCCAGUGGCGGCAUCCCGUGGCUGCUCAGGAAGCGCGCCGGCAAGGUGCGCCACGGCCCGACCCUCGGCGGGCAAGAACCUGACGUCCACGAUGAGGUGGAACUGGAAGACGAGGGAGCCACCUUCGUCGUCUCUACUCCGUCCGUCGCGGACGCUGUUGGGGCGGGAGGAGGAACCCCUGAGCCGUCAGGGAAGCGCCGGGAGGCGCUCGCGCGGCUCCGGUCCGCGGUCCUGGCCGUGGUGGCGCGCGCGCGGCGCCGGCGCGGGCGCAGGCCGAUGGGGUCGAGCGUCACCGGCACCAUCUUCGGCCGGCGCCGGGGCCGCGUGCACCUGGCGCUGCAGACGGACCCGCGCGCGCCGCCGGCGCUCAUGGUGGAGCUGUCCGCGUACUCCACCGGUGCGCUCGUCAGGGAGAUGUCCUCCGGCCUCGUCCGCAUCGCCCUCGAGUGCGAGAAGACGCCUGCACACAACACAGGCGGCGAGAGGAGGCGGACGGCGCUGGUGGAGGAGCCGACGUGGCGAGCGUACUGCAACGGGCGCAAGUGCGGGUACGCCGUGCGGAGGGAGUGCGGCGCGGAGGAGUGGCGGCUGCUCCGAGCCGUCGAGCCCGUCUCCGUCGGCGCUGGCGUCGUCCCGGACGGCGGCGCCGGCGAGGGGGACCUGAUGUACAUGAGGGCCAGGUUCGAGAGGGUGGUGGGAUCCAGGGACUCCGAAGCGUUCUACAUGAUAAACCCCGACGGCAACGGUGGGCCCGAGCUCAGCAUCUACCUCCUCAGAGUCUGA